UUGUUUCAGCAGCAUGUAUACUAAAAUUGAAACAAUACAGAGAAGAUUAGCAAGGUCCUGGUCCAAGGAUGGCACAAAUUCACAAAGAAUGUAUCUUGUACCA
rnacentral:snRNA from 1 species